rnacentral:misc_RNA from 3 species
CAACCCUCAAGCCUGGCUUGGUGAUGGGGCACUGCUCUCUGACGAGAGCAGGCCCUGAAAUCUAGUGGCGAGCUCGCUAGGACCCCGAGCGUAGUAGUUAUAUCUCGUUCUGGAAGGCCCUGGCGGUGCCCUGCCGUUAAACCCCCAACUUCUGAAA